CGCCCGCAGCCAGAAGUGGACCAGGAAGUCAGGCCAAUUUAAAAACACUCCUCUGUUUAACACAUUUUCAGCUCACACAUCCACCCGGCUGUUGGUGGCGUGUUGGAACAUGCCUUGACUUGUUGUGCUGCCUGACUGAACAGAGUGAGAGAGAGAGAGAGAGGCAGCCACAGGACAAGAGGCAAGAGGCUGGUGGUCAACAGUUUUCCAGUGUGAAGUGAACCAUACACUGGGAGAGCCCGUGAACGGACUUCUGUUGAUGUCAACAGCAGAGUGCACUUGCUGGAGAUCGGGGUGGAUGGAAGACCUGCUGCUGGCCGGCUGACUGAGCUGCUGGCCGUUGGCAGAGCACCACGCCACCCUCGGGGGCUUUCAGUAUGAGGCCGCUGCCUUCCAACAACCACCACAAAGCUGCCAGCAUUGCCCGGCUCACAGGUGGACAUGUGCAGGAAAGAGCAGUCAGGACCCUGCUGGAGAGAGGCAGGCCCAGAGACGGGUGGCUGGAUGCGGCUGCUGUGGGUGUUUCUCUGGCAGUGUCUUAGCUGGUUGUUGUGAGGAGUGAGAACGAAGCAAUCAGCAAGUAUACUGCCGCAGAAAUUCUUCGCAAUAAGAAGCCCAGGGAUCACAGCCGAGAGGGAGGAAACUGUAAGCAGACAUUGGUUCUGCUGCCACUGUAAGUUUUUAACCUGAUAAGAGAAUUAACUGAGGAGAGAUCGACCGAGCGCAUGGCCUCUGCAAUAUUUAGAAACGGAUCCAACUUCCACACUGUGUGUUGCGCUGUCAUGAUCUUCUGCUGCCAUCUUGUGACUGAAAGCAAACCUCCCGGCAUGCUUUUUGUUCAUCAAACGCUGCACCAAUUUGUGAAACCGACAUUGCUUUUUUUUUUUUCCUCCCCCACCUCCUCAUUGAGACGGUAUUAAAAGCCUUCCAUUCAGAAAAUACAGCUUGGCUUACUAUGACUUGAAAUUCCUAAUUUUUCAGUUGCAAAUGCAUGUUUUUGGUCCCCAGAUUUAAUUUCUGCUCUACAGAUAUUUCUGGAUGUAACACACACACACACAAAAAUGGAUAUGAUUAAUUCUUGAUUUAUGUGCCUGAUAUUUUAUUUAUGACAGAUAUCAUCACAGUAGAAAAGGAUGGUUAUAAAUAAAGUUAGACGAAUACUGGUUUACCCAUUUUCCUUGCUUGUUUUUACUCUACAGAUGCAUUUUGUAAUAAUGCAAACCUUGUGCUGUACAAGGCUCUUUGCACUGCAUAAAAAGCACUUUGAGAUGUUUGGUCAAAAAAAAAAAAGUUGCAAUGUGAACAAAGAAGACUUAAUGUGUGCAGAUGAUCCAGGUCCACAUUAAUUUAGGCUUUCACAGACACACACACACCUAAAUGCAUCAUAUACUUCUUGCUGCUUGCUACUUUUUUCACUUCAGUUUUCUGUAAUCUCUCAUUGGUUGUUAAUGCUUGAUGGAAAACAGUGUUUUAAAACUGCGGGUCGGUUGUGCGACUCUGAUAAUGCAGAUGUUGAGUUUGCUGCAGUCUGCAGGAAAAACAAAGUUCUGCUGCACUGCUACACUAAAAAAAGGGGGUUGCAGGGUUUUUUUUUUGUUUUGUUUUUUUCUGGGCUGCAACAAUGCAGAAACAGUAAAAGUCCUGUUCCAACACAAGGUCGCUGCACUGGGGGGGGCCUUUAACCAUUUCACAUUUCUCUGGUAAACUGCAAAUUACAAGGCCACCAAAGAAUUAACAGCAGCUGGACACAAAGCAAGCCAGACAUUAAUCAUUAAAUGUUAGAAAUGCUUUCCAUAUUAUCGGUGAGUGCAGUGAACUCAUCACUAAUAGAAAUUUGAUUUCAGGCAAUUUUAUGCAUUCAUUUAAAAAUUCAUUUAUUGCCCCAGAAAGCUGAGAGAGCCCCGCUCACUGCAGGAGGAGUUACUGCAAAUUCACUGUUAAAAAUUUCAUCUGCACCUCAUCUACAUUUAAAUUCGCUUGUCUCCUGUGGAGGCUUUUAUAUUGAUCACAGGGUAUUUUAAAUAACUAGUCGUUUAACUGAUUCUUCAGAUUUAAUUUGCAGUAACUUGAUCAGUUCAUCACUUUACACACUUGCAGCUUUUUCCUCUUUUCUGUGACGGAGGAUUUUAAAAUUUAAAGACUUUUUUUUUUUUUUUUUUUUUUUUUUUUAACCUUGCAAAAUGUAUUG